rnacentral:misc_RNA from 1 species
GAUGAAGAACGUAGCGAAAUGCGAUACGUAAUGUGAAUUGCAAAUUCAGUGAAUCAUCGAGUCUUUGAACGCACAUUGCGCCCCCUGGUAUUCCGGGGGGCAUGCCUGUCCGAGCGUCAUUGCUGCCCUCAAGCACGGCUUGUGUGUUGGGCCCCGUCCUCCGAUCCCGGGGGACGGGCCCGAAGGCAGCGGCGGCACCGCGUCCGGUCCUCGAGCGUAUGGGGCUUUGUCACCCGCUCUGUAAGCCCGGCCGGCGCUUGCCGAUCAACCCAAAUUUUUAUCCAGGUUGACCUCGGAUCAGGUAGGGAUACCCGCUGAACUUAAGCAUAUCAAUAAGCGGAGGA